CACAUCCAGAAUGCAAAAUCUCUUUGUUUCUCAUGUGGGAUUCCCACUUCCACACGUGGCUCACAGUGGAUAUUUCUGGAAAGUUUAAAGAGAAUUCCAUGUGGAGAGAUUGAUUCUCUUGGCUGCUAAAUGCAGGGAAAGUGGAACCAGAGAUUUCUAGAAUAUGUUGCUGUAUUUUGAGCAGCAAAUUGAGGAAUGUUCUUAUAGCUGCUUGUAAGGAAAUUGUUUCAGAUGUGAAAGUUGUGACUGAUGGGGGAAGAUAAGAAAGUCAGAGGCAUAUACAGAAUAAAUUGCACGUUCUUCUGUUUUCUGUAAGGAGCUAUGAUACAUGUUGGAAUGGUAAACUGACAUUCUCUUGACGUUCCAGGCUAGAGCCACCAGCAUCAGACUGUCCCCUGGAUAUAAAUAAUGUUUUCUACAGAGUGAAAGGAGCUCCACAAAGAGGUACUGACAGAGAUCAACCACAGAAUUGCUGACAGCCUGGUGUUUGUAUUUGAUGGUGGAUUAUGAAGUUCAGAUUUCCAGUUGGACACUGGAAACGCACUGCUCAGAGCUAUGCCUCUCCUUGCUUCUGGUUUUCAUCACCAACUACACGUGUAUUAGGAUUUUUCUGAGGCACAAUGAGAACAUAUUUCUGAAACUUAAAAUUUUAGCGUUUUGGUGAGAAGCGUUUUCCUUUUAUUUUUAUGAAGAUCACGGGCACUUUGACUUGCAAGAAUAAUUUAGCGUUGGUCCUGAUAUAAGAAAGAAAGGGUGCAGCAUAGGAAAAGUGGCAACAUGUUGGCCUGUCUAGAGAACUCCUCCUGACUUUCCAGUGCUUCUGAAAUUACAGUACAGGUGCAGCAGGGCCACGGCGCUGGAAUCCGGCCCGGCCCAGUGCCGGCGUUGGCAGCGGCCUUCCCAUUAUAUCAGGAAGGGCCAUAUCCCGUCGCCGCCAUGCCCCAGCCCCCCCGACUCGCCUCAGCUGUCUGCAGGACCUGGAGCCGGACAGAGGGUGCCCUGGAAGAAGCAGAGCUGUUGGUCUGAGGUGUGGAAAGCCAGCGAGUCUGGAUGCGACCAUUGCUGCGUGGCGGACAGGCUCUCAGAGCGGCCUGCAGUAACAUCUGUUACAGUUAUGAUACGCUGCAAUGACUUUCUGAUGCUGGAGCCCUGUAGCACUUUGGCUAUGCAGCGGGAAAGAGAUAUGCUUUUCUGUCUACAUGAUCUAUAACAUUGUGCUGCUAAUUCAAGAAGAAUUAACUAUUUUUAGAGGUUACC
ensembl:lncRNA